AGGUUGCAGGUUUCUCCUCUCCCACUCCAAAGGGGCGACCGAGAAGAACACAGUCUCAUCGAAGCCUAAUAUAGGGAAAGGGACGGGAAGCUUUGGGAAGAGAAGGAACAAGACACACACUCUCUGCGUACGGUGCGGGCGCCGUAGCUUUCAUCUUCAAAAGAGCUGAUGCGCUUCUUGCGCUUAUCCCGCUAGCCGUAUCCGCAAGUAUAACUGGAGUGUGAAGGCCAUUACGAGGAAGACAACCGGAAUGGGAAGGAUGAGGUAUUUACAUCAUGUGCCUCAAAGGUUCAAGUGCAAUUUCAGAGAAGUUGCAUUUUCCAGCUCAAGCAGGAGGAUUUCUGUUGACCCUUUCGAUAGACCUAAUGCCCAAGAAAUCAGAAAGAGCAAAAAUAGGUUUGCUGGUCUUAUGUUGAA